CCGGGUCCGCGUGGGCUCCGUGAGGACCAGCGGCUCUUGGAUGACCGAGGCGGGGUACUUCCUCCCCAGCAGCUCCACCUCCACCUUCUGGCCCACAGAGCACAGCUCCACAGGCAGCUAGUACCUCCGCUCCCCAGCCUCUGAAGCCUUUCUCCAGUCGGAGGGAAGACAUGGCGUAUGUGCCGAAGUCAUCAAUGCCCUCGUCCUUUCCUGCUUCCAUCAUAGCCUUGUACACAGCUGCCAUGUCCCUCUGGUCCAUGUACAGCUCCCAGCCGAGCUCACCUACACACACACACACACACACACACACACACACACACACACACACACACACACACACACACACACACACACACACACACACACACACACACACACACACACACACACACACACACACACACAGUCAUUUUCUUCAAUGCUCGCGGUUGAAGACGUCAUGAACUCAUCCAAAUCGCGUCUUGUACCAGUGUAGGAGAUCCUGAUGGCCCGGACAGUGGUUCCAGCCAGCUUCACGGUCUUGCAGUGGAGGAAUUUGAAUCCGGAUUCACUCAGAUCGUCGUCCGUCAGCUUCUGAAGAACCCGGCGGGAGUUUGGUCCAGCGAUGCCCAGCACGCCGACGUCAUCCGUUACGUUACUGAUGCCGACGUCGUAUCCCCCCUCCGCAGCUUCCGUCUCUAUCCACCUGCGUGGAGUCAAUGCACAUCUGCAACAUCUUCACUUGUUUAAACAUAAUGCUAAUUUGUGACAUUGUUGAAAUCUGCAGUCUGGGUCAGUCACCACUAGAGGUCGCCACACAGAAUCAAACCAUGAUGAAUCGCAGCGUUUUACAAAGGGGCACCAGAGAGAGAGACAUGUCUCUGCUCAUGCUUGUAUAUUACACUUGUGAAUGUUCAUUAAGGCACUAGGCUUGUUUUGAUGUGUUUCACCUGAGGUCAUGUAGCUCUGACCCUGAGCCCGUGAUGAGCAUGAACUCCCCUGGUGUCAGCUGAGUGACGGUGACCUCGGCGUAGACUCGCCCACUGGGUGUCAACAUGUGGCUUAUAUUAGUCCGGCCCACCUGGAACGCACCGGGCACAGGUCAGACAUGCAGUGAAGGCCUUCGGCUGCCGUCGCGACGCCUGAAACGUGGUGCACCUUGGGCAGGGUGUUGGCAAACAGCCGGUCCAGCAGCUUGUGGGAGUCCCUCCCCUUCACUAUGAACUUCCCAAAAGGCGUCAGGUCGAUCACUCCCACCUUCUCCAUCACCAGCCUGCACUCUCUGCCGACUGGUUCGAACCAGUUUGUCCGUCGGAAACUGGGCCUGAGCACAGCACAGUCAGCGUUUGCUUGGUACCAGAGGGUCGCUUUAAUGAGCAGGACUUUUAUUGGCCUGAUUCCCUUUCCAUUCGUAAUGCGUGAUUAGCGUCACUAAAGGAGACUGAACUAUAAUCAAUUCAAUUCAAAGCAGGUGUCAACAUCGCAGCCUCACUUGUACCCGAUGUCGUCUCCAGGUUUGUAGAACCAGUGAGGUUGUUCCCAGCCGGCGUGGAAGCCCAUGGAGGCUCUGUCCCUCAGCAGCUGGUGGAGGCCGCGGGCGCGGGCGGUCGGCCGGCCGGCGAAGCGCUCCUCCUUGGGGUACCCAACUGGAGGAGCGCACAGCGUGAGGACGGGGCGGCACCCACGCAAAGCGGCGCACGCACGCACGCCGGGACCCGCUUACCCACGUUGUUGAAGCCGUACGACUCGCGGGCCUUGGCGCACGCGAAGGGAACGUCCGUCCACGCGCCGUAGCGGUUGGGGUCGCACUCGAUGAGGUCGUACGGCGGCUCCCCGUUCCGAAUCCAGUCACUCAGGAACCUCCCGAUGCCGCCGGCAUGAAUGACUCCGUACCUGGAGAGCGAGGCUGCAGUUUAAGCUGUUACUGAACCAACCUCCUCAACAUCCACACACGCACCCAAAGCCAAUCGCGGUCCAGUAGUUGCGAGCGCCCUGGUGCGGUCCCACCAUUGGCAGCAGGUCGGGGGUGUAGGUGAUGGGACCACACACGAUGUUGAUGAUGUCGGCCUUCUUCAGCACAGGGACCAUGUCCAUGGCCAUCUCUACGUGCUCCAUUAUCCUGUCCAGGUCCGACUCAAACAGCUCCUUACCAAAACCUGCAGCAGGGACACAGGAGGCAGAGUCACCCAACGCCUAAGGGUGGAUUCAAGUGAGGCCAGCUUCGCUGCCGCCUGCCACACCUGGAGGAACUCCGUCUCUGACCCAGGAGUCCUGCAGCACCAUCUUCUCCAUCUUUUCAUACGGGCCGAACAGCAGGCCGUCCCGUUCCUGACGGAGGUAAUAGGACCCCUCCAGGUCCCGGAUGACAGCCAGCUCCUUCUUCAGGGCCUUCACCUCUGGCACCGUUGCCGUGACUACAUACUGGUGAUGCACUGGGAUGGUGGGGUGUUCAAACCCAAUCAUCUGGCCGACCUCCCGGGCCCAGAAACCUGGAAAAUGGCAGGGAAGGUGUCAAAACAAUUACUGUAAGUGACACCUUCUGUUCAUUGUUCUGCAUCACUUUAAAUGGUGCAGUCGUUACAGUUUCCACUACGAGUCUUCAGCAGCAACACUUGCUUUUACACUGGUCUUUGUUUUACUGGGCAUAAAAAUGUUUUUAUUUCUCUCUAUGGUCUCGCAAAAGCUAUAAUAGACUUAAUUUGUAUUAAGAAUAAUUGGAGCCAUAGAGACAUUCCUGUUCUACCGUUUGAGAGGAUAAUCAGACGUCUCUGAUAAAAAGUGGGUGCCUGCCGACAGCUGCAGGCAACGCAGUCAUUCCCACAAGCCGCUACUGCAGGUUGACAAUUAUAUAUCAACAUACUGUAACAGACAAUUAAUCUUUAACAGCCUUACGCAACUUUAAUUUACACUUUCUAAAAAGCAACCACUCGCUCGUGUCUGUACAAACAUCAUGUUUCCAUAAGUUCUUAUCAGGACUAAUAACCUGUACUGUUGCAUUGCAGUGGAAAUAUUUUGUUUGUCACAGGAGAAGCUCUGAUUACCAUGAACCAUAUGUUACUGAGAUAGACAGGUGGUUAUUACUGUACGUAUUAUAUGGCAGCACUUUGUAAAUAUCCGACAUGUUAUGAAAACCUGUCAAAAGCUA